rnacentral:ncRNA from 1 species
CAAAGGCAUGGUCCCGACUUUACUAUCAGCUUUAACCCAAAUUAUACAUGCAAGUAUCCGCACACCUGUGAGAAUGCCCUCAAUCCCCCGCCCGGGGACGAGGAGCUGGCAUCAGGCACACCCCUAAUCCUAGCCCAAGACGCCUUGCUACGCCACACCCCCAAGGGAACUCAGCAGUAAUAAAUAUUAAGCCAUAAGUGAAAACUUGACUUAGUUAAGGUUAAUCAGGGCCGGUAAAACUCGUGCCAGCCACCGCGGUUAUACGAGAGGCCCUAGUUGAUGGACACGGCGUAAAGGGUGGUUAGGGAUAACUAUCAAUUAAAGCCGAAGACCUCCAAGUCUGUCAUACGAUCUCGGAGGCACGAAGCCCCAACACGAAAGUAGCUUUAUUACCCCCGACCCCACGAAAGCUAAGAAACAAACUGGGAUUAGAUACCCCACUAUGCUUAGCCUUAAACCUAGAUGUCAAACAUACAAGUAACAUCCGCCAGGGAACUACAAGCGCUAGCUUAAAACCCAAAGGACUUGACGGUGUCUCAGACCCACCUAGAGGAGCCUGUUCUAGAACCGAUAAUCCACGUUAAACCUCACCACCCCUUGUUCAAUCCAGCCUGUAUACCGCCGUCGCAAGCUUACCCUGUGAAGGUCCCAUAGUAAGCAAAAUGGGUAGAUCCCAAAACGUCAGGUCGAGGUGCAGCUCACGGAGUGGGAAGAAAUGGGCUACAUUUUCUACAACAGAAUAUUACGAAUAACACCAUGAAACUGGUGUUUGAAGGUGGAUUUAGUAGUAAAAAACAAGCAGAGAGUCUUUUUGAACCAGGCUCUGAGACGCGUACACACCGCCCGUCACCCUCCCCAUCAAUUAUUAACAAAAGUAAAUAACCAAACAGAACCAGAAGCGGGGAGGCAAGUCGUAACAUGGUAAGUGUACCGGAAGGUGUACUUGGAACAU